UACGAAGGGUGCAAGCGUUAAUCGGAAUUACUGGGCGUAAAGGGUGCGUAGGCGGUUGUUUAAGUCUGUCGUGAAUCCCGGCUCAACCUGGGAAUGGCGAUGGAUACUGGGCAGCUAGAGUGUGUCAGAGGAUGGUGGAAUUCCCGGUGUAGCGGUGAAAUGCGUAGAGAUCGGGAGGAACAUCAGUGGCGAAGGCGGCCAUCUGGGACAACACUGACGCUG
rnacentral:rRNA from 1 species